rnacentral:misc_RNA from 1 species
GCAGCCUUGUAUACAUUUAUUUAUUGACAUAUACAAAUGAAUAUAUGAGCGUAGCGAGAGCGACUAGAGUUCACGUCAGGCAAUGUAAUUGUUGAUGUAGUUGCUUGUAGUUUUUUUUUUCGUUCUAUCUAUUCGAGAUUGGGUUAGUGUUCCACUACGCCCCUCGGUAAAGACUUCCUAGUUAGCGCUCCGUCGGUCCUUCAAACCCGGCAUUCUCCGACCCUAACGCCGAUGAUACUUCUUUCUGGGCAGCCAUACAUAAUAAAUACCAUUAAAAAUGGUGAACCCGGAUCUAUUUCAAGACUCCGCUUAGCUGCUUCUAACGAAGAUAGUUCUCCGCUCCAUUAGAGUAGCAUUCCUUAUCCUCUCACUUUUAGGUAGUAAAGGAGGAAGACCGGCUCACUUCGCUGGCUAGAACCGGAUGGGAACCAUGCCCGACUCAGCACUUG